rnacentral:rRNA from 1 species
AGGAUGAACGCUGGCGGCGUGCCUAACACAUGCAAGUCGAACGUCCUGUCUCGCAAGAGGCAGGGAGUGGCGGACGGGUGAGUACCACGUGGGUCAUCUACCGUGAGGUGAGGAAUACCGGCGAGAAAUCGCCGACAAGACCGCAUAGCCUCGGUGCAAGCCGAGGAAAGCUCUCUCGAGAGAGGGAGCGCCACACGAGGAGCCUGCGCCCGAUUAGCUAGCUGGUGGAGUAAUGGUUCACCAGGGCGACGAUCGGUAGCUGGUCUGAGAGGACGAUCAGCCACACUGGGAUUGAGAACGGCCCAGACUCCUACGGGGGCAGCAGUGAGGAAUUUUCGUCAAUGGGGGCAACCCUGAACGAGCAACGCCGCGUGCAGGAAGAAGGUUUUCGGAUCGUAAACUGCUUUUUCUCGGGGAAGAGAACGGACGGUACCCGAGGAAUCAGCCCCGGCUAACUACGUGCCAGCAGCCGC